rnacentral:rRNA from 1 species
AGUGAACGCUGGCGGCAGGCCUAACACAUGCAAGUCGAGCGGCAGCGCGGGGGCAACCCUGGCGGCGAGCGGCGGACGGGUGAGGAAUUCGUCGGAAUCUGCCUUUUUGUGGGGGAUAACGUAGGGAAACUUACGCUAAUACCGCAUACGUCCUACGGGAGAAAGUGGGGGACCGCAAGGCCUCACGCAGAAAGAUGAGCCGACGACCGAUUAGCUAGUUGGUGGGGUAAAGGCCCACCAAGGCGACGAUCGGUAGCUGGUCUGCGGGGAUGAUCAGCCACAAUGGGGAGUGGACACGGGCCAGAACCCUAAGGGAGGGAGCAGGGGGGAAUAUUGGGAAAAGGGGGCAAAGCCUGACCCAGCAGAGCGCGGGUGGGAAGAAAGGCUUCGGGUUGGAAAAGCACUUUUUGCGGAAAAAAAACCCCGGGGCUAAAACCCUCCGGGGGGUAAGGGACCCGGAAAAAAAAGCACCGGCUACCUCGGG